GGUUGCGAUCAUUCCAGCACUAAUGCACCGGACCCCAUCAGAACUCCGCAGUUAAGCGUGCUUGGGCGAGAGUAGUACUAGGAUGGGUGACCCCCUGGGAAGUCCUCGUGUUGCAACCCC
rnacentral:rRNA from 1 species